rnacentral:lncRNA from 10 species
AUUUGUUCCUUUGCUCCACUCUUACCAACCUUUGCUCUGAUUUGUGCCAUGAGGACUAGAAACCUGGAAACCUACGUUUCCCAGCUACUCCAUCUCCCCACACCGCAGGCUUUCUGUUAUGUUCUGAUGAUGGUUCCCCAGUGAGGAUUGUCAGGCCUCUGAGCCCAAGCUAAGCCAUCAUAUCCCCUGUGACCUGCACGUAUACAUCCAGAUGGCCUGAAGCAACUGAAGAUCCACAGAAGAAGUGAAAAUAGCCAGUUCCUGCCUUAACUGAUGACAUUCCACCAUUGUAAUUUGUUCCUGCCCCACCCUAACUGAUCAAUUGACUUUGUGACAAUACACCCUCCCUACCCUUGCGGUAAUGUAAUUUGUGAUAUUCCCUCACCCUUGUGAAGGUACUUUGUACUAUACACCCUCCCCACCCUUGAGAAGGUACUUUGUAAUAUUCUCCCCUGCCCUUAGGAAUGUACUUUGUAAGAUCCACCCCCUGCCCACAAAAAAUUGCUCCUAACUCCACCGCCUAUCCCAAACCUGUAAGAACUAAUGAUAAUCCCACCACCCUUUGCUGACUCUCUUUUCGGACUCAGCCCACCUUCACCCAGGUGAUAAAAAAGCUUUAUUGCUCACACAAAGCCUGUUUGGUGGUCUCUUCACAUGGAUGUGCAUGACAAGGAUGUGUGUUUGGAGGCAGGUUUUCCCCUUUCGCCCUUGGUAACUCACAGUUUCUCUCCUGUCUUAUGGAAUUUGCAGAGGCAUGCUGCUUAUUUCAAAUAAUCUGUGAAUUAUUUCAGUUUUCUUGGUACAUUCCUGCAGUGGUUCUUGGAGAAAAUCCGCUGUAUGAGUCUCCACACACUGUUCUAUCUGUCCAAGUGGGAGCUGCACAAUUGUCCUGUCUGCUAUCUGCCAUCUGCCUCCUAAAUCCCCCUGUCUUUUCUUCAGCCUCUCAUCUUCACCCCUGCAUACACACAUAUACAGGCACACAAAGUUGUCACAGAGCCUUUCAAGAAUAUUUUGAAUACUUAUCUGAGUAUAUAAAGUAGAGAUCUGAAGCUCUAAAAAUGAAAGUUUUUAAAAAUAAAAUUUGGCUUAGGAUGUGGAAUCUGUCCUCAUAUCAUUAACAAAAAUAUGCUUUGGAUACCACUUUGACAGUCCUCCAACACCUAUAUCAGUCAACAGGCCAACACAAAACAGAUGGCACACUCCAAAUAAGGCACCUGGAGGAGGGUGCAUCUACAACGGACCUAGUUACAGAGGUGUUAAGUACAGGGGAAUCGCGAGAGGUAGUGUUGCAAUCUAAGACUCAGUAAAGAGAAGAGAGAAGAGAUUAGUUAACAGAGAAUUUAGAACAGUGACCUGGACAAAGGUCAGCUUAUCUUGCAAGGAGAGAGUUAGGCAAAUAAUGCCCUGACCUCAUUCUGCAACUCCCCGCUAAACUUCUGGGGCUUCCCAUUGGUUGGACAUAGGGGAUGUUAGAACACAUGAGAACCUCUCAAAAUCCAUACAGGCCAGGCUCUCAGAGAAGACAGGAGAGUGAAAAACUGGCAGAAAGUGGACCUAAAGGAGAAAGUGAAAGAUGCUCAGAACAAUAUUCUUAUUCAGAGGUUAUACAAAGAUUGUUUUAAUUAAAUAUACAAUAUAUGCUGGAA